GCUCCCAUGGCGUAGUGGUCACUGCGCUCGCCUUGCACGCGGGAGACCCAAGUUCGAUUCCCGACGGGAUCA
rfam:Asian citrus Psyllid, Diaphorina citri - Florida Strain, whole genome shotgun sequence.